CAGGGUUUCCCCAUGUUGGCCAGGCUGGUCUUGAACUCCUAACCUCAGGUGAUCCACCUGCCUUGGCCUCCCAAAGUGCUGGCAUUACAGGUGUGAGCCACCACACCCAGCCUGUAAGCAUAACUUUUAUAUCUAUUGGGAAACAAACAAACAAAAAAAAGGUGUGAUUUGUUUUAUAGUUAUAUUCACUGUAUUGAAGUGAUUUAGAACCAACUUGCAAUAUCUCUAAGGUAUGCCUUUAUGUAUACAAGGUGCUAAUCUAGAUUACUCCGUGAAUCUUCUCUAACAGUAAAAAGUUUUGUUGUCAUUUCCUUUAUGCAUUUACUAUUUUUGAACAGACUCACUAUGAGGUAGCAAAAUUACUUCCUAAGUGUAAGAGACUUCUUAUUAUCAAUUGUUUUCAGUAUCUGCAAUCUCUGAACAUACUCCUGCUGUUUUAGUAGAGAUGAAAAACGUUAUUUUACUUUAUUCUUUCAUAGUAGUAUCUUUACUAGAUUUUUACCAUUUUAUCUAGAGUUAGUCAAAUGUUCCACAAAGUAAUAUGUUUCUUUUACAAGCUGAAUUCAUUAUUAUUGUUAUUAUUUUUUACCUCCUUUGCUUUUUUUCAUAUUGUUUGCCUCUUCUAGUGAAUUGUUCAUGAGGGCUUAGCACUGGUGCUCAUUAUGAACUACUGAAGAUUCAGUUUUUUACCAAAGGUAGCAUUUGAAGAAUAGAGGAGAUUCUCAACUAAAGCAUCAAUUAAAAAGACGUCGACAAUUCCUGAUGAGUUGAGACUCCUGGAUUGCCAUAGGAUGGUUGUGGCCUCCUAAAUCUGUAUCUUUACAUGCAUUCUCUAAAAGUCCACACAGAUCAACAAAGAGAUAAAAUAAAACCAAUUAACUGUAAUCUGUGUCUUCAGCAUAACCAGCAGACACACUUCAAAUUAUUACAGAGAUAAAUAAAUAACCAAAUAUAGCCUACACAACUUCAGAGACCACUGCAGGGAGAGUUAAAACUGCAGAGACUACAUGGACAAGAGGAGAGGGAAAUGGGGAGCCAGGAGCCGAACAGUAAUAGCACACAAUGAAAAUUACCUUUAGAAAGAAAAAUUCCUACACUAGUAGGAAAAUAGUAUGAUCUGGUCUUAGAUUAGAUUCUAACAUUGGCUACUCAAAAGUACAUGGGAUUCCGGGUGACAGGUCAGAAAAGUACCACUUUGGGGAUGGAGUUGUUCCCCUUUAAUACCUGGUGCUGAAAAGAAAGAAGCAAGAGGGAGAAAUGAAGUGUUCUGUAGAAAUAAGAAAACCACAAAAUCAGAAGACAAACUAAUCACCCCACUUUGGCCUCAGUUCAGAAGAGGGAGCAUUUGAACUAAAAAUCCUAGAUACUUAUUCCAAAUUGUUGCCCUUACUGCAUAUAAUUUUUAUUGCUGGUGAAGGAAAACAAAAAAUUAUACACUGAACAGGAAAUUUCAUGUAAGUUACAUACAAAGAAGAAAGCAGAAAAUAAGAAUCAAAACAUUUUAGCUAUUAAAAAUUUUCCAUGCUCGCUUUGGCAGCAUAUAUACUAAAAUUGGAAUGAUACAGAGAAGAUUAGCAUGGCCCCUGUGCAAGGAUGACAUGCAAAUUUGUGAAGCGUUCCAUAUUUUUUUUUUAAGAAAAAAAAAUUUCCAGCAAAGCCAUUCAUGAGGCAGUUAUCAUUAACAAAACACCAUGACCUGUAUUAAAUAUUCUUAAAUAAGCCUUUGGAGAUAAGAAGAGAAGAAACCUUCAAGUUAUACAUUCGGAAACGUAGAACCUAAGUAAACACCAGGAAGAAGUGUAAUUAGAGUUGACCAGAAGAAAUUGAAGAAAAUGACAAAAUUCUUGUAAAAAUUAAGACUAAAUUUCAAGGUGCCCAAGGAAGACUAGAGGUGAUUGGAAAUUUAAUAAAGGGCAUUGAGGAAAGAGAUGAAAACAGGCAAAUGAGAAGAUAAAGGAUCAGA